GACCGUCUUGUCCCCCACUCUUCAGUGAGGUUGUUUCCUACAUUGGCAAUGCAUUUACAUUGUCUUGUUACAAUUUGCAUUUCAUUCUAGGAUUCCUCCGACCUCUUAAAUAGUUUUUUUAUUUGCAUACAUUAAGGAUUAUUCUAUGUGCUAUAAAGUUGUAUGGGUCUUGACAAAUGUGUAGUGUCAUAUAUACACCACUACAGUAUUGUAUGCGAGAGUUUCACUGCCCUAGAAAUUCCCUGUGCUUCACCUAUUUAACCAUCCCUCCUCUUUCCAAACGCCUGACAAUCUCUGAUGUUUUUAUCAUCUCUAUAGUUAUGUCCUUUGAAGAAUGUCGUAUAAGUGGAAUCAUAUGCUAUACAGCCUUUACAGACUGACUUCUUUCACUUAGCAAUAUGUAUUUAAGAUUCAUUCAUGUCUUUCCAUAGCUUGAUAGUUAAUUUGCUUUUUAUCACAAUGAAUAAUAUUCCAUUGUAUAAAUGUAUCACAAUUUGUUUAUCCACUCAACUAUUGAAGGACAUCUUAGUUGCUUCCAGCUUUUGGCACUUAUGAAUAAAGAUUCUACAAAAAUUCAUGUGUGGGUUUUUAUGUGGACAUACAUUUUCCAUCAAUUGGGUAAAUACCUAGGAUGCACAAUUGCUGCAUUGCAUGGUAAGACUAUGUCUAGCUUCAUAAGAAACGGUCAAACUGUCUUCCAAAGUGGCUGUACCAUUUUGCAUUCCAAUCAGCAAGAAUGGGAGUUCCCAUUACUUUACAUCCUUGCCAGCAAUUGGUGUUGUCAAGUUUUUUAGAUUUUAGCAUUGUGGAGGUGUGUAGUAGCAUAUAGUUGUUUUAAUUUGAAAUUCUCUAAUUGUUGAGCAUUUUUUCCUAUGCUUAUUUGACACAUACAUCUUCCUUGGUGUGAAGUCUGUUCAGAUGUUUUGCCCAUUUUAAAAUUGGGUUGUUUCUUUUUCUUGAGCUUUAAGAAUUCUUUUUAUAUUUUGAAUACAAGAUCUUUAUAUGUGUUUUAUAAAUAUUUUCUUAAUGAUGCACUUUUAAGUAUCCCUUGGGGAUUGAGUGCCACUUUCCAAACACUAAAAGCUUACAUACAAUGCUAAAUGCUGUUAAUGAUAUACCUGUGUUCACCUUGUUUGCUUUGCUGUUCCCAGAAAUGACCCCAAUGCUUCCUCUCACUCCCUUAACCCCAUCCAUUCAUUGUCAAAGGACCUUUAUGUACUGCAGUUAUCACUGUAUCUCUAGAAAUUUCUUCCAUUUAUUUAUUUUAACUGAAUGACCAAGGUGGUAACGUGCUUAUUCAUCUAUCUGCCAUAAGGUUUCCAGGGAGAAUCCAAACUGCUUCUUUCCUGGUCUUGGAGGAAACAAACAGGUCUAGAGGAAGUUGCUCACAAUAUUUAGGUUGUGGCAUGUCGUGGGUGAGGCUAACCGUUGUCUGUCUUCCUUUCCAUGGCCGCCAGUCAUCAAGCCUCCUUUGCGUCAUUUUAAACGCCCUGCUUACGCAUCUAGCUCCUAUGCACCUUCAGUCUCAAAGAAAACUGAUGAGCAUCCUGCAAGGUACAAGAUGCUGGA
rnacentral:lncRNA from 1 species